GAUGAACGCUGGCGGCGUGCCUAAUACAUGCAAGUCGAGCGAACGGACGAGAAGCUUGCUUCUCUGAUGUUAGCGGCGGACGGGUGAGUAACACGUGGAUAACCUACCUAUAAGACUGGGAUAACUUCGGGAAACCGGAGCUAAUACCGGAUGAUAUUUUGAACCGCAUGGUACAAAAGUGAAAGACGGUCUUGCUGUCACUUAUAGAUGGAUCCGCGCUGCAUUAGCUAGUUGGUAAGGUAACGGCUUACCAAGGCAACGAUGCAUAGCCGACCUGAGAGGGUGAUCGGCCACACUGGAACUGAGACACGGUCCAGACUCCUACGGGAGGCAGCAGUAGGGAAUCUUCCGCAAUGGGCGAAAGCCUGACGGAGCAACGCCGCGUGAGUGAUGAAGGUCUUCGGAUCGUAAAACUCUGUUAUUAGGGAAGAACAUAUGUGUAAGUAACUGUGCACAUCUUGACGGUACCUAAUCAGAAAGCCACGGCUAACUACGU
rnacentral:rRNA from 1 species